AACAGCCCUGGUUUAAUACAGGAGCUGCUGCUGCUCUGAAAACCUUUAUGAUUCAGUGCUGAUUUUGAUGAAGGUGAAUAGUACUGUUCUGAUCUCCUCUAACAGGAAGCAUCCUCUCUGAAGAUCAGCAUUCAGGAUAUGAGGAUGUGGAUGAGGAGCUUCUCUCAGAAAAGUCUUUGAUUGGAGUAAAGACAGAAUAUUAUGAUGAUGUCAUCACCAGUGAUCUGAUAAGUGAAGCAGAAAAGGAGGACACAGCAGAGAGCUAUGAUGAUGUCAUCACCACUGAUCU
rnacentral:lncRNA from 1 species